GAGAUCUGCUGUGGUCUCUGCCCACAGGGAACGUGCAAUCCAAUAAAGGAAUGAGGAUUAGGCACAACCUACUGGGACACACAGGGCGCUGGAGGAAGGAGGAGGAGUAAUGCUCAGCCCCUGCCCCACUGUGCCUUCAGAAGCUGGUGGCCAGCCAGCCAACAUUUCGAGCCAGGCACACAUCCUUUGGGGCUUAUGAAUCCAACUUCUUGCCUCCUGCAAAGUGAAAGGGGAUGACUGGGCCAGGAGGAAGUGACUCGGGAAGGGCAGUUUUGCUGUAAGAACAGGAGGAACAAGUGUUGCAAGAAGAGGAUGGAUGUUGGAUCUGAAGCUUUGAUGAUAAAAUUGGAUUGAGAGAGAGGCC